rnacentral:rRNA from 1 species
GACGAACGCUGGCGGCGCGCUUAACACAUGCAAGUCGAGCGAAGCGGCGGACGGGUGAGUAACACGUGAGUAACCUGCCUUAGACAUUGGGAUAGCCUCGGGAAACCGGGAUUAAUACCAAAUGGUCUAAGAUGGACUCGCGUCCCAUUAGCUGGUUGGUGAGGUAACGGCCCACCAAGGCGACGAUGGGUAGCCGGGCUGGGAGAGAGAGCGGCUACAUUGAAACUGGGAAGCAGUCCAAACUCUACGGGAGGGAGGAGUGGGGAAUAUUGCACAAUGGAGGGAACUCUGAUGCAGCGAGGCCGCGUGAACGAAGAAGGCUUUCGAGUCGUAAAGUUCUUUUAUAUGGGAAGCGGUACCAUAAGAAAAAGCCCCGGCUAACUACGUGCCAGCAGCCGCGGUAAUAC